UACGGGGGGGGGCAAGCGUUGUUCGGAAUUACUGGGCGUAAAGGGCUCGUAGGCGGCCAACUAAGUCAUACGUGAAAUCCCUCGGCUUAACCGGGGAACUGCGUCUGAUACUGGAUGGCUUGAGUUCGGGAGAGGGAUGCGGAAUUCCAGGUGUAGCGGUGAAAUGCGUAGAUAUCUGGAGGAACACCGGUGGCGAAGGCGGCAUCCUGGACCGAUACUGACGCUGAGGAGCGAAAGCCAGGGGGAGCAAACGGGG
rnacentral:rRNA from 1 species